rnacentral:rRNA from 1 species
AACCGCUAGGGCGGCGUGCUUAACACAUGCAAGUCGAACGGACGAGUGAGAUAAGUUUACUUAACUCACAAGUUAGUGGCGGACGGGUGAGUAACACGUGGAUAAUCUACCUGCAACACCGGGAUAACGCUGUGAAAACGGUGCUAAUACCGGAUACGUUCCCUUGUGCGCAUGUAUGAGGGAAGAAAGCUCAGGCGGUUGCAGAUGAGUCCGCGGCUGAUUAGCUAGUUGGUGAGGUAAAGGCUCACCAAGGCGAUGAUCAGUAGCCGGCCUGAGAGGGUGAACGGCCACACUGGGACUGAGACACGGCCCAGACUCCUACGGGAGGCAGCAGUGGGGAAUCUUCCGCAAUGGGCGCAAGCCUGACGGAGCGACGCCGCGUGGGUGAUGAAGGCCUUCGGGUUGUAAAGCCCUGUUGGGGGGGAAGAUAAUGACGGUACCCCCUGAGGAAGCCCCGGCUAACUACGUG